AGCUGCGCAGUGGGCGCAGAGCGAACUAUUUUUUCGCCUUUUACUAAAGAAUACCGUGUGCCAGCUGCAGCAAGCAGCAUUCUCCAAUUUUUGGAGGGCUCCAUCUCUUCGUGAGAAGGG